UAGGGAAUAUUAGAAAUGGACGAAAGUCUGAUCUAGCAACACCGCGUGUGCGAUGAAGGCCUUCGGGUUGUAAAGCACUUUUUGGAAGGAUUAGGAAGGAAUGUACUUCCAGAAUAGGUCUCGGCUAACUACGUGCCAGCAGCCGCGGUAACACGUAGGAGGCGAACGUUAUCCGGAUUUACUGGGCGUAAAGCGCGUGUAGGUGGUUCUGUAAGUAGGGCGUGAAAGCUCCUGGCUCAACUGGGAGAGGCCGUUCUAAACUGCAGAGCUAGAGGAUGGUAGAGGGAGGUGGAAUUCCGGGUGUAGCGGUGGAAUGCGCAGAUAUCCGGAGGAACACCAGUGGCGAAGGCGGCCUCCUGGACAAUUCCUGACACUCAGACGCGAAAUCUAGGGUAGCAAACGG
rnacentral:rRNA from 1 species